rnacentral:rRNA from 1 species
AGGAUGAACGCUGGCGGCGUGCUUAACACAUGCAAGUCGAACGAUGAACUGGCGCUUGCGUCGGGGAUUAGUGGCGAACGGGUGAGUAACACGUGAGUAACCUGCCCUUAACUCUGGGAUAAGCCUGGGAAACUGGGUCUAAUACCGGAUAUUGACUUUUCACCGCAUGGUGUUUUGUUGAAAGCUUUAGUGGUUUUGGAUGGACUCGCGGCCUAUCAGCUUGUUGGUGAGGUAAUGGCUUACCAAGGCGACGACGGGUAGCCGGCCUGAGAGGGUGACCGGCCACACUGGGACUGAGACACGGCCCAGACUCCUACGGGAGGCAGCAGUGGGGAAUAUUGCACAAUGGGCGAAAGCCUGAUGCAGCGACGCCGCGUGAGGGAUGACGGCCUUCGGGUUGUAACCUCUUUCAGUAGGGAACAAGGCCACACGUUGUGUGGUUGAGGGUACUUGCAGAGAAGCGCCGGCUAACUACGUGCCAGCAGCCGCGGUAA